rnacentral:rRNA from 1 species
UACGGAGGGUGCUAGCGUUGUUCGGAAUUACUGGGCGUAAAGCGCGUGUAGGCGGCCCGCUAAGUCUGAUGUGAAAGCCCGGGGCUCACCCCCGGAAGUGCAUUGGAGACUGGCGGGCUAGAGUCCCGGAGAGGAGGGUGGAAUUCCUGGUGUAGCGGUGAAAUGCGUAGAUAUCUGGAGGAACACCGGUGGCGAAGGCGGCAUCCUGGACCGACACUGACGCUGAGGAGCGAAAGCCAGGGGAGCAAACGGG